GACAGAGGGUGCAAACGUUGUUCGGAAUUACUGGGCGUAAAGCGCGUGUAGGCGGCAACGCAAGUCGGAUGUGAAAUCCCAUGGCUCAACCAUGGAAGUGCACCCGAAACUGCGUCGCUAGAGUCCUGGAGAGGAAGGUGGAAUGCUUGGUGUAGAGGUGAAAUUCGUAGAUAUUCGGAAGAACACCAGUGGCGAAGGCGGCUCACUGGACUGGUAUUGACGCUGAGGUGCGAAAGCGUGGGGAGCAACAGG
rnacentral:rRNA from 1 species